UUCUUUCCUGGUUUGUUUGUUUUUGGAGACAGAGUUUCUCAGUGGAGCCCUGGCUGUCCUGGAACUCAGAGAUCUGCCUGCCUCUGCCUCCAAAGGCAGUCCGCAUGCUGUCACCUUCCUCUCUUUCAUUUAUUCUGGUUACAUUUACUUCAUGUGGAACUUGACUUGGCUUCCUUAGAACCUGAUUUCUUUUCAAAAAAAAAAGCUUGCCAAUAUGGCUAACAAACACAAGAAAUUCCUCUAAAUAUAGCACAUGUUCACAUUUCAACACAAUUUAAGAAAACUGAAUGCACACAAUCACUUUAACAUAAGUAAAAAAAAAUAGUCAUAAAACAAUGACUAUAACAAUUAUUGAUACUGGAAAUAGUCACAGCUAGGAUCUUUUUUUUUUUUAAGAUAAAAUUCUAUCCUGUUGCUAUUAUAUAAUGGCAAAAAGGCACAGCUAGGAUCUUUUUUUUUUUUUAAGAUAAAAUUCUAUCCUGUUGCUAUUAUAUAAUGGCAAAAAGGCUUUUAGGAAUGGAGGGAGAAAUACAAAAAUAUUUUCUAUAGGUCUUUCAGUGGGAGGAAUUCAGUAAUUUCUGGCCAGGGCAGGAUGGAAAAGCACAUGGCUAAUGGAAGGCCGAGGCCCUCUUCAGAAAGGGAAGACGAACCACUCACAGUGCAGUAGGUGUACACGGACUCAAGUAAAAGCUGAAUUGCCAAACCACUAUUCACCCACACACGGCAAGUGUCAAGGAGUUUAAAAUAAAUCGGCCACCUCUAAAGUAGUAUUUUUCCUUUGCACUUGCAAAUUUCCACAUAGACCAGCCAUUCUCUAGAACCAGGACGGAGGGUUACAGGACAGUAACAAGGAUCACUUCUCACCAACUACAAACCAUCCACUUACUUCAUUAGCACACUUUCUUACCACACUUAAGUGAAAGUUUCGAUAGGGAAACUCAAAACCCAGCAGGUACUUUUGGUAUCCUAAAGAUGAACACGUCUGAGCGUGCACAUUGCAGACAGACAGGUCAGUUCCAAAUACUGAUUUCACCGAAUAUUUUGCAUUUAAGGAGCGUCUUCUCUUUAGGGGGGAAAAGCAUUGCUUACGUACUCAUUGAAGCCAUCACUGUUUUUCGAACAGGACAUACUAAGCUUCUUAAUACAAUCUCCCCAACUAGUGGACAGCCUCUGACUUCGUUUCUACAGUUAACAGCUGAUUCGCGACUGGCGUAACAAAGUGAAACUGUAAACAAUCCCUGCAAACCCCACGUGAUUAAAAAAAAUUAAGCCCCGCGAGAUCAUUUCUAAGAGGAAGAAAGCCUUUCUAAAGCCAGUUUGAUUGUGGUGGCGGGUCUGUUCCUCGGCGGCCCUUCCCCGUGGCGUGGGCAGACAGAGGCAGACGUGCAAAACCCACAAACCUAAGCAAAACCCGUAGUUACAAACAUUAAAAUUAUGUUCACAGGUCGCGAGGCCAGCAGGCCCUCGGGGGAGACGGAUCAGCUGGCUGCAGAAACCGGAGUGUGCGAGGCUCCGGGACAAAGACCGGCGACCUCGGGCCCUCGCACCGUGCGGCCUGACGGGCAUCGCAGCGGCUCGGCCCGCCAGCCUCCCGCCACCCCCAGGACCGACCUCCCGCUCCUGGGGCGCCGCCUGCCCUGUCCGGGACCCGCAGGGCGCCCGGGACCGCAGCUGUUGGGCUUAGAACCGCGCCGUCGCCGGCGGGCUCCAAACGGCCAGGCCCCGUCCGAGAGGGCGGACAGCGGAGCGCGGUCCCCUCGGCGCGGCGGCCGGUCGGAGCUCGCUCGGGCCGCUUCCCACCCGCCUCCGCCCUGGCCACGCACCCUCACGCCAACCUACCCGGUCCCACACCAUCCCAGAGGCCUCCGGCGCUCGGGCCUUUCUGCCGAAGCGGCGCUGCCUCCCGUCCGGGGCCUGAAAUGGCUGCGGAACAAAGAGAAUCCGGGCUCCGGCGAGCGCCGGUCCGAUUGGCCGGGGGGCGGAGCCCGGCGCGGGAAUCUUCGGCGGCGGUCGCCUUGGCAACGGCGACGGGGCUGGGAAAACUGCGGCCUGGGCCUGCUGGCCUGCGUCGGGAAGGCGGGCGGGCGGGCGGCGCGCCCCAGCGGUUUUCACCAAGCGGGGUCCCGGGGUCGACGCCUCGGCCCCGUGCCCGCCUCACACCCCCUCGCGCCCACUGCAGCCCCCACAAGCCAGCCUGGGGCUCAGUCGCGGCCUCCGCUGCCCAGCCCGUUGAGUGUGAACGCCCAGAUGCACGGCCCUUCCGGCGGCAGUGUACAGGAUACCAGCUACUGCGUGAUGUUUCCUCUUUACGUUUCAUGUGGUGAAACUCUGCAGACAUGUUGGCAUUUUUCAAUGACAUAUACUGAAAUUUAAGAUGGUAAUAAACUUUGCUUUUAACC